ensembl:lncRNA
GCUGUUAAUUAGUAACUGCUUAUUUACAUCUAGGAAAGGCAAACACUGGUCUGCCUCUUCUGGAGUGCCGUGCUUCAGGAUUAGCGACAGACAGACCUUCUGCAGCUCACGACAUUUACCUACUGUAUUUUCUUUAACAGCUGAAGUAAUGACAUCUUAUUGACAGCACAGCAGAGCAAACAAUGUCUUACUGAAAGCUUCAGUGCUGGAUUUGGGCUGUCCUAAGGACCUGAGACCAAGUAAAGCCAAAAAAAAAACAAGAAAAAAGAAAAAGAAAGAGAAAGAGAAAAGAAAAAGAAAAAGAAGAAAAAGAAAAAGAAAAAGAAAAAAAGAAAAAGAAAAAGAAAAAAAAGAAAAAGAAAAAGGAAAAGGAAAAGGAAAAGGAAAAGGAAAAGGAAAAGGAAAAGGAAAAGAAAGAAAAAGAAAAGAAAAAGAAAAAGAAAAGAAAAAGGAAAAGGAAAAGGAAAAGGAAAAGGAAAAGGAAAAGGAAAAGAAAGAAAAAGAAAAAAGGAAAAGGAAAAGAAAAAGAAAAAGAGAAAGAAAGAAAAAGAGAAGAAGAAAGAAAAAGAAACUAAGCUGAGUGUCUCACAUCUAAAAGUGGAACCCAAUUGUCACUUGCUGCAGUGACAGUCAGUUGGCUCAGAUCACCAUCCAAGCAGAUGACUGUUCCUGUUUUUUUGUCAUGUUAUGUUUCUGACUGCAGUGUGACCACAUCAGCUCAGCAGAGCCCAAGGCAAAUAAAUACCAGCGGUAGGAAUGGCAGGAUGCAAAGUGCUUCAUUCAGUGGAAGCAACGAACUGCUAGGACAGCUCAAGACAUGAGCAGCAAGGACACAUCUUUUGCUGUGGUAGCCUUGCUUCCACUCUCUUCUCCAGCCAAGAGAACAGCCUAAAAAUGGCUUAGAAAGGAAGGAAGGCUGCCUGAACUGCCUAUACUCAACCAUUUCAGACUCAUGGAAAUUACUCUCUAUAUGCUGAACCUAGGCCAUUGGUUCACUCCCUCGAAUCCACUGUGAACAGUAUAUUGUUCUACUUCUAUGACAUAAAAAAAAGAAAAAUAAGUGACUGAUACAAACAACAUACCAAAAAAAUCACUGGACAGACAUGUCCAACCUGCAGCAUGCAGCCUGCUGCAGCCCAUGGGCCGCAUGCGGCCUGGCACAUCUCGCCAUGUGGCCGCCCUCUGCCCCUCGCCAUCAUGGUGGCAGCUCUGCCCCAUGCACACCCAUCACUUAUCAAUUACCAAACACCAGUGCUUUAUUAACCCCAUCUGGGCUGAAACCGGGUCAUGGAGAGAGCACAGUGCAGUGCCUGCUCAAGUUACGGUAAAUAAGUUUAUGGAUUUUCAUACAUUCGCAAAACACAGUCACAGUGAACAGCAAAAAAUAUGCAGCCUUGCUUUCCAUUUUGAUACAGGAAUUUGAGAACAGGUUUCAAGAUUGCAAAAAAAAAAAUCCCAAUUUUUUUUUUGUUUGUUUAUUUGUGACUCCUUUUUCAGUUGACAUAAAUACAUGACCUGCAAAUUUUCAAAUGAAAUGCACAGAGUUGCAAUCAGAUAUUCAACUGAAAAACUUGAUCAUGUCUCUCUACUGGACUUUCAUAAGCCCUCUUUUAUCAGAGAGAAAUAUCCUUCACUUCACAGUCACUCCUUAUCCAUGUCAUCACUGUUGGCAGUACGUAUAUUUGUGAACAACUGUUUUCAAAGAUGAAUCACAGGAAGAAUAAAAUUUCAUCAAAAAUCUCUGACAAACACCUUGAGAACUCAAUGAGAAUGGCAACCACUGCCAUCGAAUCACUGCCAACCUGAUGCAUUAGUUUCACAGAAACAAGAUCCAAUAUCCCUCUAGUUUUAUGGUUUUGUUGCUCUCCUUUUUAUGUUUUAAUAAAAAAUAUUAAAAAAUAACAUGUUUUAUUACUUAUAUAUACAUUCACUAUACUAGUAGAUUUUAUGAGGACUGCUCCAAAAGUAGAACUUCCUUUAUUUUAUUUAUGCUGCUUUAUUAUGUUGGCCCACAGUAUCAGAG